UGAAAGAUUGAAAAAACAUUC
rnacentral:piRNA from 1 species